UUUCUCCCACUUUCUGAUGCAUGAUAAACUUCCUAAUCUCAAGUCUCUCUGCUUUAAGACAUUUUCGACUCUUUUUUUUUUUUUUUAUAGCCUCAUUGAGUUUGCUUAGAUUUCCAUGACCCCAUUUGCUCAUUGUGUGAUCAUAAAAGAGCAUUUAUGCAUUUUGUGAAAAAAAGAGCUUUAAGAACAUGCACGAACGAACGGUGCUUUUCCGAGUGCAAGAUGAUCAUGAUCAUCUCCUGUUUCGAGGUUUCCUGGCUGUAGUCUAUACGGACGUACUGGAUGGAGUGCAGAAUUAACGUACGUACGGGGUGAUAGAUCUACUGCAUAUAUGCAUAAAAGUGGCAUGGAAAGUCUACUAAAUCUGAUCGUUAACCCUCUUGGGGUCAUUUUGGUUGAAACUGGAAGACAUGAUUGCAGACUCCCAGCCUGCACCAAGUCCAAAACUCGAUACAUUGAUCGAAAGCAAAGGGUCAGAAACUGGUGCAAUGCCAGUAGUAGCCUGUUGCUGCAAUUGAUGUUGGGCGGCGAAUCCAUCUUCAUUGAUCAAGGAGUUCAGGAAUGAAGAGAAUACGUCAUCCGAGCAGUAGUUUAUGUCAUCUUCUUCUUCAGUACUGCUGAAUCCAUUGUUGCUUUUCAAGCCCAUCCCGGAACCAUCUGAGUUCGGCAAAUUAUUAGUAUAGCCAACGGCUACCGUUCUCGGCCCAGAGGCUCGAUACUGAUCCAAAUUAGCACUCUGCAAGUAUGGAUUUUCCUUGAUGGGGGUUCCACUGUCACUGUUGGGAGUGUCAUCUGUAACAACCGGAGAAGUGGGAUUAGGAUUAGGGUUCGGGAGGCGAUUGAUUUUUGAUGAAGUAGCUUUGGCAUUGAUGACGGGGGAGGAGUCAUGGUUUAGAGGCUUAUGGGUUCUUGGAUCUAUGCCUUGGCUGAUCAACUUUUUGCUGAGGUGAGUGUUCCAGUAAUUCUUUAUCUCAUUGUCUGUACGUCCUGGAAUUCUCCCAGCUAUCAGAGACCACCUGAUUACCCAAAAAGUGUGAACUAUUCAGAUGCAAAAGAAAGCUGUACAUGUAUGUCAACAUGGAAAGAAAGAUAUGAUUGUGACGAUAGGGUACGUUAUGGUGAUGAUGAUUACGAGUUUUGAGCUAUAUGAGAUUGAAGACAGUUUCUAAACCUAAUUGUUCCCAGAAGAUUGAGACAAAAAUAGAAAGAGUAUUAGGUUUACGAGCUGAAAUAGAAAUUCAUAUAUAGCGAAUUAAAGAGGGUUCGAGAAUUCAUCUGAUAUUAGCCCUAGCUAGCUGGAACAAAAAGAGAGAAAGAUCGAGUGAGGAAAAUAGACAGGCACAGUGAAACCCUAGCUAGCUAGCUAGCUGAAGUCUGAAGAUAUGAAUGAGACUGUUUUGCAAAAGGAAUGAAACCCCAAAAGCAAAGUUUCCAUAUACAGUGAGAAGGUUAACCAUAAAAUGAGAGAUCGAUCAUAUAUAUAUAGAUGAAAUACCGGUUGCCGAGGAGGCGAUGGAGACGAAGAAUGAGAUCUUCUUCGUCGGGAGCGAUCUGGCCGCGCUUGACGUUGGGACGAAGAUAGUUCAUCCAGCGGAGGCGGCAGCUCUUGCCGCAGCGGAGAAGGCCGGCACGCUUGGGGAGGGUCCGCCAGCGUCCCUCCCCUUCCUUGUUGAUGUAAUUGGAGAGAAGCUCGUCCUCCUCCGGCGUCCAAGGCCCUCUCUUCAGUCCCACCUUACUGCAGCAGGGAGUCGUGGUAGACCCAGACCCUCCUUUUGCAGCUGCUGCUGUAGACGACGACGACGAUGGGUUCCUCAUGAUAUCCUUUGGCUUUUCUCGGAUCUCAAUCUCUCCGGAAGUAAUGUUUGUGUUUUAUUUAUAUCUGCGUUCCUGUGUAUAGCUAUUUUGCUCUUUUUUUUUUCCUUUUUUGUUUAAUGGUUAUUAUUGUUGUCUUUGAGUUUUGGACCUCUCUCUCGCAAGUCUCAGAGAUGAGCGUUACAGUGAAAAAGUUUGCUA